rnacentral:rRNA from 1 species
GACGAACGCUGGCGGCGUGCUUAACACAUGCAAGUCGAACGGAAAGGCCCUGCUUUUGUGGGGUGCUCGAGUUGCGAACGGGUGAGUAACACGUGAGUAACCUGCCCUUGACUUUGGGAUAACUUCAGGAAACUUGGGCUAAUACCGGAUAGGAGCUCCUGCUGCAUGGUGGGGGUUGGAAAGUUUCGGCGGUUGGGGAUGGACUCGCGGCUUAUCAGCUUGUUGGUGGGGUAGUGGCUUACCAAGGCUUUGACGGGUAGCCGGCCUGAGAGGGUGACCGGCCACAUUGGGACUGAGAUACGGCCCAGACUACUACGGGAGGCAGCAGUGGGGAAUAUUGCACAAUGGGCGGAAGCCUGAUGCAGCAACGCCGCGUGCGGGAUGACGGCCUUCGGGUUGUAAACCGCUUUCGCCUGUGACGAAGCGUGAGUGACGGUAAUGGGUAAAGAAGCACCGGCUAACUACGUG